rnacentral:rRNA from 1 species
UGGGGAAUUUUGGACAAUGGGCGAAAGCCUGAUCCAGCAAUGCCGCGUGUGUGAAGAAGGCCUUCGGGUUGUAAAGCACUUUUGUCCGGAAAGAAAUCCUUGGCUCUAAUACAGUCGGGGGAUGACGGUACCGGAAGAAUAAGCACCGGCUAACUACGUGCCAGCAGCCGCGGUAAUACGUAGGGUGCAAGCGUUAAUCGGAAUUACUGGGCGUAAAGCGUGCGCAGGCGGUUUGCUAAGACCGAUGUGAAAUCCCCGGGCUCAACCUGGGAACUGCAUUGGUGACUGGCAGGCUAGAGUAUGGCAGAGGGGGGUAGAAUUCCACGUGUAGCAGUGAAAUGCGUAGAGAUGUGGAGGAAUACCGAUGGCGAAGGCAGCCCCCUGGGCCAAAUACUGACGCUCAUGCACGAAAGCGUGGGGAGCAAACAGGAUUAGAUACCCUGGUAGUCCACGCCCUAAACGAUGUCAACUAGUUGUUGGGGAUCAUUUCCUAGUAACGUAGCUAACGCGUGAAGUUGACCGCCUGGGGAGUACGGUCGCAAGAUUAAAACUCAAAGGAAUUGACGGGGUCAUAGCUGUUUCCU